CCACCCCCUCCCUCUUCUCCCUCCUUCCCCUCCCUCUUCCUCCUCCAUCUCUUUCCACUUCCCAUCUUCCUCCUCCCUUUCUUCCUCCCCUCCUCUCUUCCCCUUCCUCUCCCUUCCCUACCAUGCCUCACCCCUCCCCUUCCCCUCUCCAACCCAACCUUUUGAUCAUGACAUCACAACCAUAUUGCAAUCCUUCUAGUUGCAAUCUAGCCGCAGCCAGAUCACAACCUGUGGUUGAGGCCAGAUUUGGGAGGCAAGAGGACAUGUGGGAUGUGGCGGAAAAGAGGAGGGGAAGGGAGGAGGGAGGGAGAGGAAAAGGAGAAAGGAGGGGAUGGUGGC
rnacentral:lncRNA from 1 species